rnacentral:rRNA from 1 species
GUGAAGCCCCCCUCAAGAUGAGAUUUCCCAAUUAGUAAGACCCCUUGAAGACGACGAGGUAGAUAGGUUGGAGGUGGAAGCACAGCAAUGUGUGGAGCUGACCAAUACUAAUCGGUCGAGGGCUUAUCCUA